ACUGGUGGAGCGCUUAGAAGUGAGAAUGCCGGUAUGAGUAGCGAAAGAAGGGUGAGAAUCCCUUCCACCGAAUAUCUAAGGUUUCCUGAGGAAGGCUCGUCCGCUCAGGGUUAGUCGGGACCUAAGCCGAGGCCGAUAGGCGUAGGCGAUGGACAACAGGUAGAGAUUCCUGUACCAGUGCUAAUUGUUUAACCGAUGGGGUGACACAGAAGGAUAGGGAAUCGCACGAAUGGAAAUGUGCGUCCAAGCAGUGAGUGUGAGAAGUAGGCAAAUCCGCUUCUCGCGAAGCAUGAGCUGUGAUGGGGAAGGAAAUUAAGUACGGAAGUUCCUGAUUUCACGCUGUCAAGAAAAGCCUCUAGGAAGAGUAGUACUGCCCGUACCGCAAACCGACACAGGUAGAUGAGGAGAGAAUCCUAAGGUGAGCGAGAGAACUCUCGUUAAGGAACUCGGCAAAAUGACCCCGUAACUUCGGGAGAAGGGGUGCUCUAUUAGGGUGCAAGCCCGAGAGAGCCGCAGUGAAUAGGCCCAGGCGACUGUUUAGCAAAAACACAGGUCUCUGCAAAACCGUAAGGUGACGUAUAGGGGCUGACGCCUGCCCGGUGCUGGAAGGUUAAGAGGAGUGCUUAGCUUCGGCGAAGGUACGAAUUGAAGCCCCAGUAAACGGCGGCCGUAACUAUAACGGUCCUAAGGUAGCGAAAUUCCUUGUCGGGUAAGUUCCGACCCGCACGAAAGGCGCAACGAUCUGGGCACUGUCUCAACGAGAGACUCGGUGAAAUUAUAGUACCUGUGAAGAUGCAGGUUACCCGCGACAGGACGGAAAGACCCCGUGGAGCUUUACUGCAACCUGAUAUGGAAUGUUUGUACCGCUUGUACAGGAUAGGUAGGAGCCGAAGAGACGUGUGCGCUAGCAUACGAGGAGGCAAUGGUGGGAUACUACCCUGGCUGUAUGACCAUUCUAACCCACCACGCUUAGCGCGUGGGGAGACAGUGUCAGGUGGGCAGUUUGACUGGGGCGGUCGCCUCCUAAAGAGUAACGGAGGCGCCCAAAGGUUCCCUCAGAAUGGAUGGAAAUCAUUCGCAGAGUGUAAAGGCACAAGGGAGCUUGACUGCGAGACUGACAAGUCGAGCAGGGACGAAAGUCGGGCUUAGUGAUCCGGUGGUUCCGCAUGGAAGGGCCAUCGCUCAACGGAUAAAAGCUACCCCGGGGAUAACAGGCUUAUCUCCCCCAAGAGUCCACAUCGACGGGGAGGUUUGGCACCUCGAUGUCGGCUCGUCGCAUCCUGGGGCUGUAGUCGGUCCCAAGGGUUGGGCUGUUCGCCCAUUAAAGCGGCACGCGAGCUGGGUUCAGAACGUCGUGAGACAGUUCGGUCCCUAUCCGUCGCGGGCGCAGGAAAUUUGAGAGGAGCUGUCCUUAGUACGAGAGGACCGGGAUGGACACACCGCUGGUGUACCAGUUGUUCCGCCAGGAGCAUCGCUGGGUAGCUAUGUGUGGCAGGGAUAAACGCUGAAAGCAUCUAAGCGUGAAGCCCCCCUCAAGAUGAGAUUUCCCAUUUCUUCGGAAAGUAAGAUCCCUGAAAGAUGAUCAGGUAGAUAGGUUUGGAGUGGAAGUGUAGCGAUACAUGGAGCGGACAAAUACUAAUCGAUCGAGGACUUAACCAAAAA
rnacentral:rRNA from 1 species